rnacentral:rRNA from 1 species
AGGUUACUGCUAUCGGUGUUCGCCUAAGCCAUGCGAGUCAUAUGUUCUUCGUGAACAUGGCGUACUGCUCAGUAACACGUGGAUAACCUGCCCUUGGGUCCGGCAUAACCCCGGGAAACUGGGGAUAAUUCCGGAUAACGCACAUAUGCUGGAAUGCUUUAUGCGUCAAAUGGAUUCGUCCGCCCAAGGAUGGGUCUGCGGCCUAUCAGGUAGUAGUGGGUGUAAUGUACCUACUAGCCUACGACGGGUACGGGUUGUGAGAGCAAGAGCCCGGAGAUGGAUUCUGAGACAUGAAUCCAGGCCCUACUGGGCGCAGCAGGCGCGAAAACUUUACAAUGCGGGAAACCGUGAUAAGGGGACACCGAGUGCCAGCAUCAUAUGCUGGCUGUCCGGGUGUGUAAAAUACACCUGUUAGCAAGGGCCGGGCAAGACCGGUGCCAGCCGCCGCGGUAACACCGGCGGCCCGAGUGGUGAUCGUGAUUAUUGGGUCUAAAGGGUCCGUAGCCGGUUUGGUCAGUCCUCCGGGAAAUCUGACGGCUUAACCGUUAGGCUUUCGGGGGAUACUGCCAGACUUGGAACCGGGAGAGGUAAGAGGUACUACAGGGGUAGGAGUGAAAUCUUGUAAUCCCUGUGGGACCACCUGUGGCGAAGGCGUCUUACCAGAACGGGUUCGACGGUGAGGGACGAAAGCUGGGGGCACGAACCGGAUUAGAUACCCGGGUAGUCCCAGCCGUAAACGAUGCUCGCUAGGUGCCAGGCAUGGCGCGACCGUGUCUGGUGCCGCAGGGAAGCCGUGAAGCGAGCCACCUGGGAAGUACGGCCGCAAGGCUGAAACUUAA